rnacentral:rRNA from 1 species
ACUUAAAUUGAAGAGUUUGAUCAUGGCUCAGAUUGAACGCUGGCGGCAGGCCUAACACAUGCAAGUCGAGCGGUAGCACAGAGAGCUUGCUCUCGGGUGACGAGCGGCGGACGGGUGAGUAAUGUCUGGGAAACUGCCUGAUGGAGGGGGAUAAC